rnacentral:rRNA from 1 species
ACGUAGGUGGCAAGCGUUGUCCGGAUUUAUUGGGCGUAAAGGGAACGCAGGCGGUCCUUUAAGUCUGAUGUGAAAGCCUUCGGCUUAACCGAAGAAUUGCAUUGGAAACUGGAGGACUUGAGUGCAGAAGAGGAGAGUGGAACUCCAUGUGUAGCGGUGAAAUGCGUAGAUAUAUGGAAGAACACCAGUGGCGAAAGCUGCUCUCUGGUCUGCAACUGACGCUGAGGCUCGAAAGCAUGGGUAGCGAACAGGAUUAGAUACCCUGGUAGUCCAUGCCGUAAACGAUGAGUGCUAGGUGUUGGAGGGUUUCCGCCCUUCAGUGCCGGAGCUAACGCAUUAAGCACUCCGCCUGGGGAGUACGACCGCAAGGUUG